AUUGAACGCUGGCGGCAUGCUUUACACAUGCAAGUCGAACGGUAACAGGCCGCAAGGUGCUGACGAGUGGCGCACGGGUGAGUAAUGCAUCGGAACGUGCCCAGUCGUGGGGGAUAACUACUCGAAAGAGUAGCUAAUACCGCAUACGAUCUAUGGAUGAAAGCGGGGGACCGUAAGGCCUCGCGCGAUUGGAGCGGCCGAUGUCAGAUUAGGUAGUUGGUGGGGUAAAGGCCCACCAAGCCAACGAUCUGUAGCUGGUCUGAGAGGACGACCAGCCACACUGGGACUGAGACACGGCCCAGACUCCUACGGGAGGCAGCAGUGGGGAAUUUUGGACAAAGGGCGCAAGCCUGAUCCAGCAAUGCCGCGUGCAGGAAGAAGGCCUUCGGGUUGUAAACUGCUUUUGUACGGAACGAAACGGCUCUGGUUAAUACCCGGGGCUAAUGACGGUACCGUAAGAAUAAGCACCGGCUAACUACGUG
rnacentral:rRNA from 1 species